UGGGGGAUAUUGCGCAAUGGGGGAAACCCUGACGCAGCAACGCCGCGUGAAGGAAGAAGGUCUUCGGAUUGUAAACUUCUUUGACGAGGGAAGAUAAUGACGGUACCUCGAAAACAAGCUCCGGCUAACUACGUGCCAGCAGCCGCGGUAAUAUGUAGGGAGCGAGCGUUGUCCGGAAUUACUGGGUGUAAAGGGCGUGUAGGCGGUAUAUCAAGUCAGAUGUGAAAUUCCCGGGCUUAACCCGGGCGCUGCAUUUGAAACUGAUGUACUUGAGUGCUGGAGAGGAAAGCGGAAUUCCUAGUGUAGCGGUGAAAUGCGUAGAUAUUAGGAGGAACACCAGUGGCGAAGGCGGCUUUCUGGACAGUAACUGACGCUGAGGCGCGAAAGCGUGGGGAGCGAA
rnacentral:rRNA from 1 species